rnacentral:rRNA from 1 species
AACGAACGCUGGCGGCAGGCCUCAAACAUGCAAGUCUAGGGGGUGUAGCAAUACAUCACCGGCGGACGGGUGCGUAACGCGUGGGAAUAUACCUAUCGAUUCGGAACAACUGAGGGAAACUUCAGCUAAUACCGAAUACGUCCUAACGGAGAAAGAUUUAUCGUCGAUAGAUUAGCCCGCGUUCGAUUAGCUAGUUGGUGGGGUAACGGCCCACCAAGGCGACGAUCGAUAGCUGUUCUGAGAGGAAGAUCAGCCACACUGGGACUGAGACACGGCCCAGACUCCUACGGGAGGCAGCAGUUGGGAAUCUUGGACAAUGGGGGAAACCCUGAUCCAGCCAUGCCGCGUGAGUGAUGAAGGCCUUCGGGUUGUAAAACUCUUUCGCGCACGACGAUAAUGACGGUAGUGCGAGAAGAAGCUCCGGCUAACUCGUGCCAGCAG